CCUANGGGUGGCAGCAGUCGAGAAUCUUCCACAAUGGGCGAAAGCCUGAUGGAGCGACGCCGCGUGUAUGAAGAAGUCCUUCGGGAUGUAAAAUACUUUUCUAAGGGAGCAAUUUUUUGAGUGUACCUUAGGAAUAAGGGGCUGCUAAACUCGUGCCAGCAGCAGCGGUAAUACGAGUGCCCCAAGCGUUGUCCGGAAUUACUGGGCGUAAAGCGUCUGUAGGGUGUUUGAUACGUCUUCUGUUAAAUUUCGAUGCUCAACAUCGAAGCUGCAGAGGAAACGGUCAGACUAGAGAGUGUGAGAGGCUGUUGGAACUUAAGGAGUAGGAGUGAAAUCCGUUGAUACCUUAGGGAACACCAAAGGCGAAGGCAUUCAGCUGGUGCAUUUCUGACCCUGAGAGACGAAAGCGUGGGGAGCAAAAAGGAUUAGAUACCCCANUANUC
rnacentral:rRNA from 1 species